GACGAACGCUGGCGGCGUGCUUAACACAUGCAAGUCGAACGGAAAGGCCCUGCUUUUGUGGGGUGCUCGAGUGGCGAACGGGUGAGUAACACGUGAGUAACCUGCCCUUGACUUUGGGAUAACUUCAGGAAACUGGGGCUAAUACCGGAUAGGAGCUCCUGCUGCAUGGUGGGGGUUGGAAAGUUUCGGCGGUUGGGGAUGGACUCGCGGCUUAUCAGCUUGUUGGUGGGGUAGUGGCUUACCAAGGCUUUGACGGGUAGCCGGCCUGAGAGGGUGACCGGCCACAUUGGGACUGAGCUACGGCCCAGCCUCCUACGGGAGGCAGCAGUGGGGAAUAUUGCACAAUGGGCGGAAGCCUGAUGCAGCAACGCCGCGUGCGGGAUGACGGCCUUCGGGUUGUAAACCGCUUUCGCCUGUGACGAAGCGUGAGUGACGGUAAUGGGUAAAGAAGCACCGGCUAACUACGUG
rnacentral:rRNA from 1 species